rnacentral:rRNA from 1 species
GGGGAAUAUUGGACAAUGGGCGAAAGCCUGAUCCAGCAAUGCCGCGUGAGUGAUGAAGGCCCUAGGGUUGUAAAGCUCUUUUACCCGGGAAGAUAAUGACUGUACCGGGAGAAUAAGCCCCGGCUAACUCCGUGCCAGCAGCCGCGGUAAUACGGAGGGGGCUAGCGUUGUUCGGAAUUACUGGGCGUAAAGCGCACGUAGGCGGCUUUGUAAGUUAGAGGUGAAAGCCCGGGGCUCAACCCCGGAAUUGCCUUUAAGACUGCAUCGCUUGAACGUCGGAGAGGUGAGUGGAAUUCCGAGUGUAGAGGUGAAAUUCGUAGAUAUUCGGAAGAACACCAGUGGCGAAGGCGGCUCACUGGACGACUGUUGACGCUGAGGUGCGAAAAGCGUGGGGAGCAAACAG